rnacentral:rRNA from 1 species
GCAGCCGCGGUAAUACGGAAGAUGCGAGCGUUAUCCGGAUUUAUUGGGUUUAAAGGGUGCGUAGGCGGGUCGGACAGUCAGUGGUGAAAUCUUGCGGCUCAACCGUAAAACUGCCAUUGAAACUAUCGACCUUGAGUGUAAAUGAGGUAUGCGGAAUGCGUGGUGUAGCGGUGAAAUGCAUAGAUAUCACGCAGAACUCCGAUUGCGAAGGCAGCAUACUGGGAUACAACUGACGCUGAAGCACGAAAGCGUGGGUAUCGAACAGGAUUAGAUACCCC